ensembl:lncRNA
CGAGGAGGAGCUCUCGCUGCCAGCAGCCGAGGAGGAGCUCUCGCUGCCAUCCGAGGAGGAGCUCUCGCUGCCAGCCGAGGAGGAGCUCAGCGAGCCGGAGGAGCAGCUCAGCGAGCUCUCGCUGCCAGCAGCCGAGGAGGAGCUCUCGCUGCCAGCAGCCGAGGAGGAGCUCUCGCUGCCAGCAGCCGAGGAGGAGCCGGAGCUCAGCGAGCCGCCAGCCGAGGAGCAGCUCAGCGAGCCGGAGGAGCAGCUCAGCGAGCUCUCGCUGCCAGCAGCCGAGGAGGGACCCGCUCAGCCGGAGCCGGAGAUCAGCGGACCGGAGGGACCUCCACGUCUAGCGCGGCCUCCUCGCCAUCUACGUCCGGUGCGUCCACGUCAGCGGUCGGCGCGUCAUGGGCCUGGUGCCACGCCUCGCUGUUGCUCACCGGAGCAGCGCCGCCGCCACCGGACCCGUGGCAGGCCACCAGAACCGUUCUGCCGCCACCGGACCCGUGGCUGGCCGCCGGAGGAGCAGCGCCGCCGCCACCGGACCCGUGGCAGGCCCCCUGAACUGUUUUGCUGCUGCUGCCAGACCCGGGGCCGUCCGCCGGAGCUGCUACGUCACCGCCGUUGGGCUCGAGGUAGGCCCCCUGAACUCUCUUGUUGUGUUGAUGGGCCACCUGUGACUGUUUGUGGCGUCUUUUCGUUUUCUUUUUGCACCGCUGCGGGAUGCGCGGUCUGACUCUGAGACUGUGGACUGGGUCGGUUUGUUGUUUUGUUGUUUUUGCUUGUUUUGGUUCUGGCCCUCCGUCCUGGUUCCCCCAGCCGCCCGCCCUGGGUUGGUUGUGCUGUUUUUUUGUUUUGGUUUUGGGGUCGUCGGGAGCCGACCCUUAGAGGGGGGGUACUGUCAGGGUCCUGGGACUGGGCGACCCAGGAUCCCUGAGCAGUCAUGUAUUAUAUUAUUAUUAUUAUUAUUAUUAUUAUUAUUGUUGUUGUGUAUUUUGGUGUUGCUCCCCCUUCCCUGUGCUAGUGUGUAUGUGUGUGUGGGUGGCUGAGCACUUGUUUAUAGGCGGCGUCAGGCCUGGAGGGUGUGGCCCUGCAAGGGGACUGGCCACACCCGAAGCCACACACCUGCUGCUGAUCAGGCCUCGUCGGGGGAGCUACUUAAGAGAGUCUUGGAGCUCCCACCGACGCGGGAUCAUUGCAUGAGACUCCACGUUAGUCACCCUGUCUAAGUUUAGUCAGAAAGUGUAUGCCUGCCAUUCUGAGUGUCCUGACAGCUGCCGUUAUUGUUUCCCGCAG